rnacentral:rRNA from 1 species
UACAGAGGUCUCAACCGUUGUUCGGAUUCAUUGGGCGUAAAGGGUGCGUAGGCGGUCGCGCAAGUCGGAUGUGAAAUCUCGAGGCUCAACCUCGAAACUGCAUUCGAUACUGCGGUGCUUGAGGACUGGAGAGGAGACUGGAAUUCAUGGUGUAGCAGUGAAAUGCGUAGAGAUCAUGAGGAAGACCAGUGGCGAAGGCGGGUCUCUGGACAGUUCCUGACACUGAGGCACGAAGGCCAGGGGAGCAAACGGG